GACGGAGGGUGCUAGCGUUGUUCGGAAUUACUGGGCGUAAAGGGCGCGUAGGCGGCCUGGCAAGUCGGAUGUGAAAGCCCGGGGCUCAACCUCGGAACGGCAUUCGAAACUGCUGGGCUGGAGAACGGAAGAGGAGAGUGGAAUACCCAGUGUAGAGGUGAAAUUCGUAGAUAUUGGGUGGAACACCGGUGGCGAAAGUGGCUCUCUGGUCCGGUUCUGACGCUGAGGCGCGAAAGCGUGGGGAGCAAACAGG
rnacentral:rRNA from 1 species